GACGAACGCUGGCGGCGUGCUUAACACAUGCAAGUCGAGCGGUAAGGCCCUUUCGGGGGUACACGAGCGGCGAACGGGUGAGUAACACGUGGGUGACCUGCCCUCAGCUCUGGGAUAAGCCCGGGAAACUGGGUCUAAUACCGGAUAUGACUCCAUGACGCAUGUUGUGGGGUGGAAAGCCUUGUGCGGCUGAGGAUGGGCCCGCGGCCUAUCAGCUUGUUGGUGGGGUGAUGGUCACCAAGGCGACGACGGGUAGCCGGCCUGAGAGGGCGACCGGCCACACUGGGACUGAGAUACGGCCCAGACUCCUACGGGAGGCAGCAGUGGGGAAUCUUGCGCAAUGGGCGAAAGCCUGACGCAGCGACGCCGCGUGAGGGAUGACGGCCU
rnacentral:rRNA from 1 species